GUAAGUUCUCUGAAAUGUAUCAAUACUGUUCAAUUCGAAAUCAAAGUUUCUAAAAAGCUAUCCAUAAAUUGCACAAUUCAGUUAUUCUAUAUGUUUCCCACAGCUUUCAUUGAUUUCUAAAAAAAAAACAAAUCUUUUAGUUUUUUCUAUUUGCUUGAAAUAAUAGAGUCCAAGUAAUACAUUUAAGGUUUAACAUUAAUUGUUUAAUGUAAAUCGUAAAUCGUAGUUGAAUGAGACUAUGUCCAAGGUACAUGUAUCAAUGUUAUGGACAAUAUCACUUUUCAAAAUAGAUGGUCCAUAGACUUGGUUUCUUUUUUUAAUCAAAAUGUACAUAACGUUUUAUCGGUAUGAAAUUUGAUGCAAACAUGCAUUUGUCAAUCAUUUGUUGCGACCACUAUUUUUUUCUAUCCUAAUGACAACAAAAUAAUAUUAUGAAACAGUUUUCCCCGGAAAGAUCCUGUUAAAAAAAACGUAUAAUAUUCCCUGAGCUGUAUAUUCAGCAUGACAUUUUUACAAGUCAGACCACAAUUUUUAAAUCCUAUUACAGUUAAAGUAUCAACGUUGCAGAAGUAAUACAAUGGUUAAAUCUUUGAGUUUAAUGUAUAGAAACGUUCAUCUAUUCUCUUAAAAUUCGGAUCUAAUGGUUCAUUAGAAAAAAUAAUACACGAUGUUCUGUUUUUACUUCAUGUAUUGUUU
rnacentral:lncRNA from 1 species